AAAUAACAACAUAGUUUCACUCUCACAGCGAAGGCUUGUAUUUUACAUCUUUAAAACGACCUGAUGUCAGAAGAAGAUGCCCUGGAAUUCCUGUUGCAGGAUGACCCAAACGAUCAUGCAUUCAGUAUAAACAUAUACAUAGUAUUGCCAUCCCAAUAUUUAGUUGGAAGUUCCCAGGUAUAGUCCGCUAGUGACAGUCUGCUGGCAAAUCCAGGCAUGCGGUGGAAGGAUGCUGAUGUGAAGGACACAGGGACACCCAUCCAAGAACUGUGGCAUUUCAUUCAGAGUGACAACCUGACAUUCAGUUGAUAUUGGACCCGAUUAUUCAGAAAACUGCAGAUUUUAGGAAGCUGUUUUUGACAGAAGAUUUGGUUUUUUCCAUCUGUAUUGCCACCAACCAUUAUGCUGAGAUGGUCAUAUCUAGGGGGAAAGAUUGUCAUUAUACUUCCCAAUGAAGUUCGCAUCCUCUCACUGAAGAGGAAUUGUACAGAUUUUCGUGCAUUAUCUUAUACAUGUUUGCUGUGAAGUUCCAGUCAAUAGACAGAUAUUGGUCAAUGCAUGCCCCUUUCGGAACAACCCAGUACAGUGUAUCAGGAAUGAUGUCUAAAAAUAAGUUUUAAGAGGUUGAAUAUAAGAACAUUUUUGUUAAAUAUGAUGCAAGUACAUUUAAAUCUAGUGAUUGAAAGUAAGUACUUGAACAUUCGUAUGCGUUGAACUUACAGAGGAAAAACGGGUAGUACUUUUUGAUAACAUUUGAUAACGUGCUGUAACUGCUGUCGCUUAGCAACCAAAUAUAUUUGAAUGCAAAAAAUUAAAUUAUUUUAGAUUAACAAUAAAGAUCUUUGUUUUAAUGUUGCAAUAUUUAUUCUAUUUAGUGGAACAUAAUGGCAAAACGUCAUAUUAUUAGAAAAUGAUGGAUAUGUACAAUGUAUAUAAAGUACAAAGUUUCCAUUUUAUGACCUUUGACCUUUAUUCUUUUCAUCAUAUUUUUUGUUAAAAACCUUUUAAAAUGAUUAAGAUUUAUUUAAAGAUUAUAUUUUUAAAAUAAUGUGACAUUUACUAAUCAUCAUUCAAUGUAAUUGUGUUUAAAUUGUGUCAAAUGUAUGUAGAAAGGCAAAUUAUGGUCAAAAUUGUACUACGAGUGCUGUUACUUAGCAACCAAAAAUAUUUGUCAAUAAAAUUGAUUAAUUUGAUUGUGAUGCGUUUGUAGUAUUUUUAAAGGCACAUCAGCUCAUACAUUUAGAAUUUCCUAUUUUUGACUCUAAUCUAGUGAGAGGGGUCGUAAUAUAUAUAUUUCAGACAAAAAAAAUUGCAAAAAUGUGCACAUAUAUGACCUUUGACCCCGUAGAUCUCUUUGAGGUCAUGGGAUACCUUGACAAACUUUAUAAGAAAUUAUUCCCUGUCCAAUUCCUAACAAAAUUAUAUGUCAUAUCCCUAUCCCAAAUCGUGAUACAUGCAGAUUUUAUUCGAUGUAAAAAUAUUGUCAUUUAGUCUUUAAAAACCUCUAAAAUGUGCCGGUAGAGAAAGGGUUAAAG